rnacentral:lncRNA from 1 species
GAAAAAUAGGAGGAAAAUUGGACCCCGUCACUUGGGCCAUUUUUUUAUUUUGUCGUUGGGCUGAUUUUCUUCACAAUGGGCCUCUUUUUGCUUAAACAUUGUAGGCCCAAAUCAAUUACCCAAUGAAUUGUCUUGGUCCAUAAAUCAUAAUCCAUAUAAUUUCAUUUUCCUUUCGACUCCAAAUUUCAUUUUCCCCCAAAUCUUGAAACUGUGAAAGCUAAAGGAGUGAAAGGCGAUUGGGGCGAUUGGCGAAGCUGAAGGAAGGGACUGGCGAUUGGGCGAAUGUGAGCGUGAGGAGAUGAGGAGGAGGAGUCGUGAUUGCAGCGAACUCAAUGAUGGAAAUAAGAAAGGUAGUAAUGGUUUAUUAUCGUCUUCUUCUAGAGAGCCAAUUUGUGAUGAAAUGCUGGAAGAUUGGCUUGAUCCUCACAUUUUGACUCAAAUUCCGGAUCUUGGAGGUGAUUGGCUUGCUAAUAUUUGAAUAUAUCUAUUUUCUUAGCCAAAUAUAUGUGAUAAAAAGAACUUAACUAAUUUCUAACAUGUUGUGUAGUUAAAUAAGUGUGUACCAGUGGAUAUUCUUUGAAGAAAAAUGAUGACUGUUUGUCUUUGCUUUUUCUUGAAUUAAUUUUUUUUCUUAUCUCUACCAAUUUUACCUCAAUAUUUCAAAAUUAUUUCUUGUUUUGACACGGUGAAAAGUUAAGUUCAAUUCGUAAAAGGAUUUUGACAGAGAAUUCUAUAUACAAGAAAUUUA